rnacentral:misc_RNA from 1 species
GAUGAAGAACGCAGCGAAAUGCGAUAAGUAGUGUGAAUUGCAGAAUCCAGUGAAUCAUCGAAUCUUUGAACGCACAUUGCGCCCGCCAGCAUUCUGGCGGGCAUGCCUGUUCGAGCGUCAUUUCAACCCUCGACCUCCCCUUGGGGAGGUCGGCGUUGGGGACCGGCAGCACACCGCCGGCCCUGAAAUGGAGUGGCGGCCCGUCCGCGGCGACCUCUGCGCAGUAAUACAGCUCGCACCGGGACCCCGACGCGGCCACGCCGUAAAACACCCAACUUCUGAACGUUGACCUCGAAUCAGGUAGGACUACCCGCUGAACUUAAGCAUAUCAAUAAGCGGAGGA